ACUAUAGCAUCAGGGUUCCACCUCUUCCCAUUCCGAACAGAGAAGUUAAGCCUGAUCACGCCGAUGGUACUGCGUAACAGUGGGAGAGUAGGUAGUCGCCGUUUUUUUCAGAUGGUUCAUCCCCUUCGGUCGAAAGACCGGAGGGGAUGAC
rnacentral:rRNA from 1 species